CAGAGCCCUGGAGAGGGUCCCCCAGCGCUGGAAGCGGGUGUGCGCUCCCGCUGCACAGGGCACCGGCCGCUCCCGCAACGCCGGCACGGUGGGACCAUUUGCAGUUACCUGAACUAGAAUGAAACCUUUUCAGUUGGUUACAUUUUCUAACAGACUGUUGAGGAGGUAAUUUCCCAAAUCCAUGUCCACGUCUGUCAGAAAUCCAGACUAAAUGGAGACAGUGAACCUUUUAGAACCAAGCUGGAGGAACACUACUGCGCUCAGUCUAACUACUAUACCAAUAGACACUGGUAAAAUUUCCUAAUUUUAGAGAAAAGCACAAUACUAAAGUUUUCUAAGCAAAGAGAAAAGAUU